AGGAAUUUAGGUAAAUAUAACAUUAAACCUAGAACCUUCAAAGUUCUCAAUGAAAGUG
rnacentral:tRNA from 1 species